CCAACCAGACGGCCGACCGUUGGCAGUAAAGCCAGUCGGACUGAUCAGUCGGCUCCCCGAGUCGGUCCAAAAAGUGCCUCAGAACACACCGAAGCAACGGCCACUUCAGCGUACGUUCUGUGCGUGCAUGAGACGUAAAACGUCUCCAUAACAGCAGGCGGCGCUAAUCUGUAUUGUCGCC